AAUGACCAGGACUUUCUCCUUGUCUGCUGCUUCGCUGCCCUGCCUGUGCCCUCUCCCAUGCCCUGAUGCACAGCGAGGCUGCUGCAGUGAGCGUCUCCAGCCUUGGUUCUUCAUCCUUGUCCUGUCCCUUGGGCACACUGUGCUUCCCAGAGCAGGAGAGGAAUAGAAAAAGGGGACAGGUCAGAGGAAUGGAGAAAGGAGGAUCCACUUGCAGCUUUGGCAUCUCUCUUGGCUAGCCUGUGUUGCCACUUCCACAGAGUAAAAUGCCCAGCAGAGCUCAGCGUCUUGUGCUUUGCUCAGAAGUUUACCCUGCACAUUGACAUGUCUCCUUACUAAGACUUUGAGACUGUUUAAGACCAGCAUCGAUGUUAAUGAGUGAUCUCUAUUUAGGAAUACCUUAUUUUAAAGAAGAAUCUUCCUUAGCAAGCAAGACUACAGUGAUUGCUCAUGUGACUGGGAGUGAUAACAGCAAGGCUUUUUCCCUCUGCAAAUGUAUGUGACUUUGUUGAAUUAAUGAAAACAUGGAAGAGGAGGACUAGCAGUAGACACAGA